GAUGAACGCUGGCGGCGUGCCUAAUACAUGCAAGUCGAGCGAACGGACGAGAAGCUUGCUUUUCUGAUGUUAGCGGCGGACGGGUGAGUAACACGUGGAUAACCUACCUAUAAGACUGGGAUAACUUCGGGAAACCGGAGCUAAUACCGGAUAAUAUUUUGAACCGCAUGGUUCAAAAGUGAAAGACGGUCUUGCUGUCACUUAUAGAUGGAUCCGCGCUGCAUUAGCUAGUUGGUAAGGUAACGGCUUACCAAGGCAACGAUGCAUAGCCGACCUGAGAGGGUGAUCGGCCCCACUGGAACUGAGACACGGUCCAGACUCCUACGGGAGGCAGCAGUAGGGAAUCUUCCGCAAUGGGCGAAAGCCUGACGGAGCAACGCCGCGUGAGUGAUGAAGGUCUUCGGAUCGUAAAACUCUGUUAUUAGGGAAGAACAUAUGUGUAAGUAACUGUGCACAUCUUGACGGUACCUAAUCAGAAAGCCACGGCUAACUACGUG
rnacentral:rRNA from 1 species